rnacentral:lncRNA from 1 species
AGGUAUUCCUCGGGCCCCGCGGGGCCUGCGUGGGAACCGAAAGUCCCUGGGUCCCCAUGCACUGGUUAGCCAGGGCCCCAGGCCCGGCGCUGCCCGCCACGCUGCCUGUUGGGGAUGAUCCUGGGCUCGGGGGGAGCGGAUGGCUGGCGCCAGUUACCUCUCCAUAGCCUGCAAAGUGUAGCUGAUGAGCGGCCUUUCCAGAACCCGGCAGAACUGCUUCGGGGUGCGGACGCCCAUCCUUUCCCCGCAACCCCCAGCCGGCAGCACGGCGGCCACGGUUCCAGGGCGGUUCCCGGGCUCCGCCCCAGCGACGGACAACGGGGACUCCGGGAACGCUGAGCCCGCGCCCGCGGGGCCGCUCACGCAAUGCCCAGGCUCAGCGGGCCUGCUGCACGGCCCAGGCUCCAUAGCAGGCAGAGCGCAGAAGCUCGAGGUGCAGAUGGAAACCGAGAGCGAGACGCCAGCACCGGCCCUGGGACGAGAUCAAGGGUCGCACUGGGCCAGGAACGGCGCCGAGCGGACUCGGGGAAAGUGGCCUCGGGUGCUGAUCGCGGAGGAAGCCAGCAAGCCUUGUCUUCCCAGCCUGGGCCCAGCGCCCCUAGGCAGCAAUGCUCUUCCUGCUCUUCCCUCUAUCCCUCCGGGCAGGUCGAGCCGAGGCUGCAGUAGCAGUCCUUACAGAUUUGACAGUCACACACAGGCAGCUAUGCACAGCACAGUCAUGGGCCCCAUUCUAGAUAAGUCGGAAAUAAUUGUAUUCAAGGUACAGUUCAAGACCCAUAUGUGUGCACCUCGGUCAUAAGAAUUUCGUUAUCCACAGAUGGCACCCUGAUUCUACCAAGUGGAAAGACAAAUGGCUAGGCAAAGUCUAGAAUCCGUACUGCAAGGUUGAUUCCCAGACCUGUCUGUCUGCACCUUUGAACAACCAAGUAGAGUGUCCUUG